UCAAUGCGGCGUCUCUCUCCUCACACUAGAAAGACGCCCUUAUUCUCUCAAACCCUAACUUCCCUCUCAUCUACCUUCAUCUCUCUCUCUCUCUCUCACCCACCUUACCUUCAUCGAUCUCUCUCACCUUACCUUCACCGUAUUUUCGUGUUUUCGGAUCUCCGGCAAGUCGACGAGUUCUUCAAACGACGAGCAAGAACUUAAACGACGGUCUUCUUGUUCCUCAAAACUCAAUCAACUUAAAUAUAUGGCGACGAAAUUCUCUGAAGAUGAACUAAGCACAAAAUUACAACAACUUCUUCCUCCUCGAAAUCGGCCGUUUCAUCGAUCAAAUCCCUCGAAACCUACACUUCUUCGUCUCCUGAAAUCCGCAAACGUUUCAUUCGUUUACAUCUUCUUCAUUGUUUCAUUCGUUUACAGAUCUGCCAAAUGCAAUCGAACUCAAACGCAAUCGAAGAUCUGAAAUUUUCAGUAAGAGGAUGGUAUCUUCUCGAAAUCUUGUUGUUGCGUUUGUGGUGAAGAUCUUGAUUGUUAUGAAAUUACAAGAAAUUCUCGAAGAUCUGGAUUGUGUUUGAGUAUUUUUAUUUUUAUUUUUAAUUUUAUCUCUUGUUAUAUAAAAAGGCGGUUGUAGAUAAAUUUUUAGUUUGUAAUUUUAUCUUUUGGUUAGGGUUAGAAUUUCUUAUUUUUUUGUAUGUUUUAGUUAUAGAUUUGAUGUUAGUGAUAAUGGUGAUAUUUUUUUCUUCUUGAAAUUAUGUAAAACUGCGCACUGUUGAUGUUAGUCCAUUGCCUUUGUAGUUUGUAAUUUUAUCUUCUCCA